UUCGUAUUAAUUAACAGGUGACCAAGUUCAAACAAAUUCUAUAUUUUUUUUAUUUUUUUAAUUUAAUUGUUCAACAUGUAAUAAUCCGUUGUUGAGUAGAUGAAGUUGAUGAAAAAUUCGGUAGGACAUGUAAAUACUUGGUGUUUACGAAAUAUACGGAUUUCAUGAUAGACCUGUACUCAACCAGUUCUCGACUUCUUUUCAAUGUCUUAUAAAUACUUGACUAAAGGACGUUAAACUAUUAACUCUACUAGCACGAAGUCUAAACUAUAUUACACAAAGUCAGGAUGAUGUUCUUCAAGUUUUUCCAUUCUUAGACGUAUUCUUAAUCUAACCCUAUAUAUUUUCUUUUAUAUUUAGAGUAUGCAUUUUAAAAGAUUUGUUUCCUUUUUUUUGUUGAUAUGUUCACAGAAAUGCAUGAAAUAUAGACAUAUUGCCGCAUUAUGGUAUCAUAAUAUUUAUCUGGAUGUUCAACGCAUUUUUUCCCUCGAAUCGACUACAUGUACCAUAAAUAUAUAAUUCAUCUUGACAUAAAAAAAGAGUCAUAUUCCAGUAUUGUAAUAUUUUGCAUUGAAAUAACAGAAACGUCAAUGGCGAUAUGUUAUUUGUGUUAAAGAGUAAUUUACAAUUCAAGAUUCAAAUAUAAUUUACGGAAAAUCAUCAGGUGAUAUCAAGGGUCACUCUUGAUAUUUACACAAAUAUAAAUAUAUAUAAAUAAAAAGAUACAAACAAUACAACCAUGUGAUUAUUCCCUCGCGGUCCUGUUUAAUUCAUAUAAGUCACUGUC
rnacentral:lncRNA from 1 species